AACGUAGGUGGCAAGCGUUAUCCGGAUUUACUGGGCGUAAAGCGUGUGCAGGCGGGUGGAAAAGUGGGGUAUGAAAUCGCCAGGCUAAACCUGGCGGGGUUAUGCCAGACUGUCCGUCUGGAGUGCGAGAGAGGGGCGUGGAAUUCCGGGUGUAGUGGUGAAAUGCGUAGAGAUCCGGAGGAACCCCAGAGGCGAAGGCGGCGCCCUGGCUCGCAACUGACGCUCAGACACGACAGCAUGGGGAGCGAACGGG
rnacentral:rRNA from 1 species